rnacentral:tRNA from 1 species
GGCGGCAUGGCCAAGUGGUAAGGCAGCGGCCUGCAAAGCCGUUAUUCAUCAGUUCGAAUCUGAUUGCCGCCUCCA